UACAGAGGUGGCAAGCGUUGUUCGGAAUUACUGGGCGUAAAGGGCGCGUAGGCGGUUCGUUAAGUCCUGUGUGAAAUCCUCCGGCUCAACCGGAGAACUGCCCCGAAUACUGGCCGCCUCGAGGGGGGUAGGGGCGUGCGGAACUGUGGGUGGAGCGGUGAAAUGCGUUGAUAUCCACAGGAACUCCGGUGGCGAAGGCGGCACGCUGGACCUCAUCUGACGCUGAGGCGCGAAAGCCAGGGGAGCAAACGGG
rnacentral:rRNA from 1 species